UGGCAAAGAUGAAAGAGAGCUUUGCUACGUAGAACAACUGCUUUGCCAAGUAAUGGAUCUUCGAAAUCAAUUUGUUAACUUGUGUUACGGAGAUUUAGAAGGGUUUCAAGAAAAAGCAAAAGACUAUAUUGAAAAAAAGGCAAGCGUGCAUUUUAAUAAAUUUGAAAAUUGGCUCUCUGUCUUUCAAUUUAAAUUCUUAAUUUCCAAUGAAAAACCGAGUGUUGCUGAUUUUCAUUUGUUUGUCAUGUUGGACCAUCACGAAAAACUUGCUAAAGAAAUUCUAAAGACUUCAGUGCUCAAUAAUUAUAAGAGAUUAUCUUCUCUUUAUCAUGAAAUUCGUCACUUACCGCAACUCAAAGCUUAUUUUGAAAGUCAAGACUACAAGCUCCCAAUUAAUUCUCCAGCAGCAGCUUUCUGUUGACAACUUUGGUUCUAUAAAAAAUAAAUAAAGUUAUAUACGUAUUCUCUUAA